rnacentral:rRNA from 1 species
CAGUCGCCGCGGUAAUACGAGGGGGGCAAGCGUUGUUCGGAAUUAUUGGGCGUAAAGGGCGCGUAGGCGGUUUGGCAAGUUUGGUGUGAAAUCUUCGGGCUCAACUCGAAGUCUGCAUCGAAAACUGCCGGGCUUGAGUAUGGGAGAGGUGAGUGGAAUUUCCGGUGUAGCGGUGAAAUGCGUAGAUAUCGGAAGGAACACCUGAGGCGAAAGCGGCUCACUGGACCAUAACUGACGCUGAGGCGCGAAAGCUAGGGGAGCAAACAGGAUUAGAUACCCCAGUAGUCCCUGUCUCUUAUAC